rnacentral:rRNA from 1 species
GACGAACGCUGGCGGCGUGCUUAACACAUGCAAGUCGAACGGAAAGGCCCUGCUUUUGUGGGGUGCUCGAGUGGCGAACGGGUGAGUAACACGUGAGUAACCUGCCCUUGACUUUGGGAUAACUUCAGGAAACUGGGCUAAUACCGGAUAGGAGCUCCUGCUGCAUGGUGGGGGUUGGAAAGUUUCGGCGGUUGGGGAUGGACUCGCGGCUUAUCAGCUUGUUGGUGGGGUAGUGGCUUACCAAGGCUUUGACGGGUAGCCGGCCUGAGAGGGUGACCGGCCACAUUGGGACUGAGAUACGGCCCAGACUCCUACGAGAGGCAGCAGUGGGGAAUAUUGCACAAUGGGCGGAAGCCUGAUGCAGCAACGCCGCGUGCGGGAUGACGGCCUUCGGGUUGUAAACCGCUUUCGCCUGUGACGAAGCGUGAGUGACGGUAAUGGGUAAAGAAGCACCGGCUAACUACGU